CAAGUCGUACGCUAGCCGCUGAAUUGAUCCUUCGGGUGAAGUGAGGCAAUGACUAGAGUGGCGAACUGGUGAGUAACACGUAAGAAACCUGCCCUUUAGUGGGGGAUAACAUUUGGAAACAGAUGCUAAUACCGCGUAACAACAAAUCACACAUGUGAUCUGUUUGAAAGGUCCUUUUGGAUCGCUAGAGGAUGGUCUUGCGGCGUAUUAGCUUGUUGGUAGGGUAGAAGCCUACCAAGGCAAUGAUGCGUAGCCGAGUUGAGAGACUGGCCGGCCACAUUGGGACUGAGACACUGCCCAAACUCCUACGGGAGGCUGCAGUAGGGAAUUUUCCGCAAUGCACGAAAGUGUGACGGAGCGACGCCGCGUGUGUGAUGAAGGCUUUCGGGUCGUAAAGCACUGUUGUAAGGGAAGAAUAACUGAAUUCAGAGAAAGUUUUCAGCUUGACGGUACCUUACCAGAAAGGGAUGGCUAAAUACGUGCCAGCAGCCGCGGUAAUACGUAUGUCCCGAGCGUUAUCCGGAUUUAUUGGGCGUAAAGCGAGCGCAGACGGUUUAUUAAGUCUGAUGUGAAAUCCCGAGGCCCAACCUCGGAACUGCAUUGGAAACUGAUUUACUUGAGUGCGAUAGAGGCAAGUGGAACUCCAUG
rnacentral:rRNA from 1 species